UAGUGGCGAGCGAACGCGGAAGAGGCCAAACCGAGGGUAGUAAUACCUUCGGGGUUCGGACAGCGUAAGGCAUCGAUGAUCGAUAGCAGAAUGAAAUGGGAAGUUCAACCAUAGAACGUGAGAGUCGUGUAAGCGAAAUCGAAAGUCGGCUGGCUGUAUCCAGAGUACCGCCGGACACGUGAAACCCGGUGGGAAUACGGGGGGACCACCCUCCAAGCCUAAAUACUCUCCAAUGACCGAUAGUGUAAAGUACUGUGAAGGAAAGGUGAAAAGAACCCCUGGCGGGGAGUGAAAAAGAACCUGAAACCUUGUGCCUACAAGCACAUAGAGCACAUCAACGUGUGAUAUGGUACCUUUUGUAGAAUGGUCCGGCGAGUAAAUGUCACUGGCAAGGUUAAGGACUUCAGGUCCGGAGCCGAAGCGAAAGCGAGUCUUAACUGGGCGACAUAGUCAGUGGUAUUUGACCCGAAACCGAGUGACCUAGCCAUGAGCAGGCUGAAGUGGAGGUAAAACUCCAUGGAGGGCCGAACCCACUCCCGUUGAAAUGGUAGGGGAUGACUUGUGGCUAGCGGAGAAAUUCCAAUCGAACUCGGAGAUAGCUGGUUCUCUCCGAAAUAGCUUUAGGGCUAGCCUCAAUUAACAUUACCGAAGGUAAAGCACUGACUGAGCUAGGGGGCGAAAGCUUACUGAACUCUAUCAAACUAAGAAUGUCGGAUAAUGAAUGAUUGGGAGUCACACUGCGUGAGAUAAGUUUCGCGGUGGAAAGGGAAACAGCCCAGACCCACAGCUAAGGUCCCGAAGUAUGGUUAAGUGGAGAAGGAUGUGGAAUUGCGCAGACAACCAGGAUGUUGGCUCAGAAGCAGCCACUCAUUCAAAGAGUGCGUAAUAGCUCACUGGUCGAGUGAUCCUGCGCCGAAAAUUUAACGGGGCUAAACCAUACACCGAAGCUUGGGAAUAUACGUAAGUAUGUUGGUAGGAGAGCGUCGUAUACGGGGUGAAGUUACAGCGGAAGCGGUAGUGGACUGUAUACGAGUGAGAAUGCCGGAAUGAGUAGCGAGAAUUAUGUGAGAAUCAUAAUGGCCGAAAGACUGAGGUUUUAGAAGGAAGGUUCGUCCGCUUCUAGUUAGCCGGGAGCUAAGGCGAGGCCGAGAGGCGUAGUCGAUGCACAUACGGUUGAGAUUCCGUAGCCACCUUAAAUUUAAACUGAGGGACACAUCGAAAGGGCAUAACCCGGGCGUUGGUUGACCCGGGCGCAAGGGAACGAAGAUUAGUAGGGAAGUAUGCUUGGACGGUGGCGAGAAAAGCUCAGUGUAUAUAGCUAGGGUGCCCGUACUGCAAACCGACACAGGUAGUCAGGAAGAGAAUUCUAAGGCCAACGGGAGAAGGAUUGUUAAGGAACUCGGCAAAUUGGCCCCGUAACUUCGGAAUAAGGGGUGCUCACGAGAGUGAGCCGCAGUGAAUAGGUCCAGGCAACUGUUUAUCAAAAACACAGCUCUCUGCUAAAUCGUAAGAUGACGUAUAGGGGGUGACACCUGCCCGGUGCUGGAAGGUUAAGAGGAGGGGUGCAAGCUCCGAAUUGAAGCCCCAGUAAACGGCGGCCGUAACUAUAACGGUCCUAAGGUAGCGAAAUUCCUUGUCGGGUAAGUUCCGACCCGCACGAAUGGUGUAAUGAUCUGGACACUGUCUCAACAAUCCACCCGGCGAAAUUGUAGUACCGGUGAAGAUGCCGGUUACCCGCGGCAAGACGGAAAGACCCCAUGGAGCUUCACUGCAGCUUGAUAUUGGGUUUCGGUAUUCUAUUUACAGGAUAGGCGGGAGACAGAGAAACCAGCACGCCAGUGCUGGCGGAGUCGUCCUUGGGAUACCGCUAUUAGAGUAUUGGAAUUCUAACCUGCGGCCUUGAAUCAGGUCGGGGGACAUUGUCAGGUGGGCAGUUUGACUGGGGCGGUCGCCUCCAAAAGAGUAACGGAGGCGUUCAAAGGUUCACUCAGCAUGGACGGAAACCAUGCCCAAGAGUGCAAACGCAGAAGUGAGCCUAACUGCGAGACUGACGGGUCGAGCAGUAACGAAAGUUGGAGUUAGUGAUCCGGCGGUAUGUGAGUGGAAAUGCCGUCGCUCAACGGAUAAAAGCUACCCUGGGGAUAACAGGCUGAUCUCCCCCAAGAGUCCACAUCGACGGGGAGGUUUGGCACCUCGAUGUCGGCUCAUCACAUCCUGGGGCUGUAUUCGGUCCCAAGGG
rnacentral:rRNA from 1 species